UUUAUACUCCCUCCGUUCUGAAUUACUUGUCUUAGAUUUGUCUAGAUACAGAAGUAUCUAGCACUAAAAUGAGUCUAGAUACAUCCGUAUCUAGACAAAUCCAAGACAAGUAAUUCGGAACGGAGGGAGUAUAUU
rnacentral:pre_miRNA from 1 species